UACGUAGGCAGCGAGCGUUGUUCGGAAUUACUGGGCGUAAAGGCUCGUAGGCGGCCAACUAAGUCAGACGUGAAAUCCCUCGGCUUAACCGGGGAACUGCCUCUGAUACUGGAUGGCUUGAGAUUGGGAGAGGGAUGCGGAAUUCCAGGUGUAGCGGUGAAAUGCGUAGAUAUCUGGAGGAACACCGGUGGCGAAGGCGGCAUCCUGGACCAACACUGACGCUGAGGAGCGAAAGCCAGGGGAGCAAACGGGG
rnacentral:rRNA from 1 species